rnacentral:rRNA from 1 species
UACGAAGGUGCAAGCGUUAAUCGGAAUUACUGGGCGUAAAGCGCGCGUAGGUGGUUCAGCAAGUUGGAUGUGAAAGCCCUGGGCGUCAACCUGGGAACGUGCAUCCAAAACCUAACUGAGCUAGAGUACGGUAGAGGGUAGUGAAUUCCUGUGUAGCGGUGGAAUGCGUAGAUAUAGGAGGAACACCAAUGGCGAAGGCAAUCCCCUCGGGCGUCG